rnacentral:misc_RNA from 1 species
GUGAAUCAUCGAAUUUUUGAACGCAAAUUGCACUCUCCUCGGAGAGUAUGCCUGUUUGAGGGUUAGCCUAUAACAAAUCGACAUCGUUGCUGUUUCGCGGUGGCGUUCGUUGGCAAUUGGGUCAUCUUAAAUCUUUUGGUUUUAUGCGUUUUAAAAUUUUCUUUUUGGUUCCAUGUAUGUUUCUAAGAUUUAUUUCUUUACACGUUUAUGGUAUCGAUUUUUAUUAGAGGUGACUCUCAUAUUGGAUC